CACCGCCCGUCGCUCCUACCGAUUGAAUGGUCCGGUGAAGCGUUCGGAUGAGUGGUGUUAGGCGGUUCGCCGCCCUUCAUCAUUCAGAAGUUCGUUAAACCUUAUCAUUUAGAGGAAGGAGAAGUCGUAACAAGGUUUCCGUAGGUGAACCUGCGGAAGGAUCAUUA
rnacentral:rRNA from 1 species